rnacentral:rRNA from 1 species
GCUACUGGACCUAGCGGCGGACGGGUGAGUAAUACUUAGGAAUCUGCCUAUUAGUGGGGGACAACGUUCCGAAAGGAGCGCUAAUACCGCAUACGCCCUACGGGGGAAAGCAGGGGAUCUUCGGACCUUGCGCUAAUAGAUGAGCCUAAGUCGGAUUAGCUAGUUGGUGGGGUAAAGGCCUACCAAGGCGACGAUCUGUAGCGGGUUUGAGAGGAUGAUCCGCCACACUGGGACUGAGACACGGCCCAGACUCCUACGGGAGGCAGCAGUGGGGAAUAUUGGACAAUGGGCGCAAGCCUGAUCCAGCCAUGCCGCGUGUGUGAAGAAGGCCUUAUGGUUGUAAAGCACUUUAAGCGAGGAGGAGGCUUACCUACCUAAUACCUAGGAUAAGUGGACGUUACUCGCACAAUAAGCACCGGCUAACUCUGUGCCAGCAGCCGCGGUAAUACAGAGGGUGCAAGCGUUAAUCGGAAUUACUGGGCGUAAAGCGCGCGUAGGUGGCCAUUUAAGUCAAAUGUGAAAUCCCCGAGCUUAUCUUGGGAAUUGCAUUCGAUACUGGAUGGCUAGAGUAUAGGAGAGGAAGGUAGAAUUCCAGGUGUA